GACAGAGGAUGCAAACGUUGCUCGGAAUUACUGGGCGUAAAGCGCGUGUAGGUGGUUCGGUAAGUCAGGUGUGAAAUCCCGGGGCUCAACCCCGGAAGCGCAUUUGAUACUGCCAAACUUGAGUACUGGAGAGGAGAGUGGAAUUCCCGGUGUAGAGGUGAAAUUCGUAGAUAUCGGGAGGAACACCAGUGGCGAAGGCGACUCUCUGGACAGAUACUGACACUGAGACGCGAAAGCGUGGGAAGCAAACAGG
rnacentral:rRNA from 1 species